rnacentral:lncRNA from 1 species
UCUGACAUACGUACGUUAGUUUUUUUCUCUUUUAUUAUAUAUCUUUAAGUUUUGGAUUACGGUAACUUUUAAAAUAAUUGUUUGUAGCUAUACUUUUAGAAAAACCAACGGUUAAUUGAACUAAAAUAACGUUUAGUAAAUUUUAAUUUUAAACUAGAAAAAAACUAGUUACAAUGUUCGGUAAAAUUAAUAAUAAAUUGGUGUUCAAUUAUACUAGGUAGGAAAACGUGCAACGUAAAUGAUCACACACAAAUUAGUCUAUUGUAUAUUGUAAAUUGAAUAUACCUAUAUUUUGCUAUAUUUUGUUUUAGAAAAGGAUACUGGAUAUGAUCAGUAGGCGCACUCAAACAUCCCAUCAGAUAGGUACCCUAUUAGCCCUCGUUAUCCCAAAAUUAUAUUCAGUAAUGUAUUCCAUUAUAUUUUGCUAUAUUGAAUAAGAAUCUUAUAUUUUUCUCCUAUUUAUUUCUUCCACUAAUAUUCUCCUCUCUAAUAUCCAUUUAACUUGAAAACAAAAGUUUCAAUCUCUACUCUAUUGUCCUUAAUUACCAACAUAAUUUGAGUCCUUUGUUUCCAUUGAUUUACUUUAGUGGAUCUUAUCUUGGUUUUUUCUCUUAAAAGAAAAAAAAAAAAAGCUUUUCUACUUUAAACAUCUUCUCUUCCUAAUAUUUAUAUUUAUUUUUCUCUAAUAUUUUGUAAUUUUCUAUCUAAUGUUGCUAAUAGCAACUUGCUUUCUCCUUUUUAACCCUUUUUUCUGAUCUCUAACCUUUAUUUGUUCCAUAAUUAACUAUUUAAACACUUUUGUCUCUCUAAUGUCGCUCUUUUAACAUGUAUUUUUCUUUAAUUUAACAUGUAUAUAUUUUGCUUUCUUUUCACAUAUAUUUCUCUAUAUAAACGUAUAUAUAUUUUGUUAUCAAACAUAAACAAAACAAAAAUGUAUAACGAUAUAUAUGAAACAUGUAUGGGUGAUUUUCAUUGUUUAAAAGUAAAAAAAAAAAAAAAAAAAAGAUCAAAGAAGAAAAAGUAAAUUAACAAAAAACUAACAAUUGAAAUGGUUAUGUUGUUUGAGUUGCAUUUGACAGUGACUUCUGGUUUUGGUUUUGUUUUUGUUUUUCUUGAAAUCUAUGCCAACUUUAUCAUAUAUCUUAAGAAAGAAACUAGAAUUGGAAGCCAAAAUCUAUAAAUUAAAAAAAAAGGAGUGGUUGAAAUCUAUAAAUUUGACUUAAUUUUUCAAAGAAAAUAAAAGAAAACAUAAAAACUGAAGAGAAAAUUAGUGUUUACAAGUUUAAGUUUCUCAUCUUAAAAUCAACACACGUGUGAGUAAAAGAAAGCAAACCAUGUAUGCAGAAGGACUUUAUCUUGAAGCAGUGUUAAAAGUGGACCUAAAGAGACACCGUCUUCGUUACGAACAUAAUACUUAGAAACUGGCGUAAGGCUAUAAAGUCUUUGCACAUUCCCAUCUUCAUCAGAAGCCAAAGAGCAUCCCACGACAGCGU